rnacentral:rRNA from 1 species
AGGUUAACCGUAUAGGGGAGCCGUAGAGAAAUCGAGUCUUAAUAGGGCGUUUAGUUGCUGGGUAUAGACCCGAAACCAGGCGAUCUAUCCAUGAGCAGGUUGAAGGUUGGGUAACACUAACUGGAGGACCGAACCCACUGUCGUUGAAAAGCCAGGGGAUGACUUGUGGAUAGGGGGGAAAGGCUAAUCAAGCCUGGUGAUAGCUGGUUCUCCCCGAAAGCU